UACAGAGGUCCCAAGCGUUGUUCGGAUUCACUGGGCGUAAAGGGUGCGUAGGCGGUUGUUUAAGUCUGUUGUGAAAUCCCCGGGCUCAACCUGGGAAUGGCAAUGGAUACUGGGCAGCUAGAGUGUGUCAGAGGAUGGUGGAAUUCCCGGUGUAGCGGUGAAAUGCGUAGAGAUCGGGAGGAACAUCAGUGGCGAAGGCGGCCAUCUGGGACAACACUGACGCUGAAGCACGAAAGCGUGGGGAGCAAACAGG
rnacentral:rRNA from 1 species